rnacentral:misc_RNA from 1 species
AAAGUGAAAAUGAAUGCCAUGAACCAAAAGAUGAACACAAAUGUGAAGAAAAAGAUGCAGAAAUGAAAGAUAAGAAUCAUAACAGGCACCAAAAAGGUUACAGGCAUAGAAGGCGAAUUAAGUCAUUCAGGUCUAGAGCUGUGUAUUCUGAUACUGCACUGUAUAAGACUUUAGGCACUGGUUUAUAUUCUCCUAAGCAAUAGAGGAUAUUGGCAAGGGGAAUAGAUGACUGGGAUUUGCUUAUAGAGCAUACUGUAAAUUGAAUUAGCUUCUU